rnacentral:tRNA from 1 species
GGUCUCGUGGCGGAAUUGGUAGACGCGCCAGCCUCAAAAGCUGGUGGGCUUAGCCCGUGUGGGUUCGAGUCCCACCGAGACUAC